GGGGUGGGACAAUAUCCCACCAUGACCAGCUGAAGGGCAAGGCAUGGUGAUAGAGCAGUCUCGGCCAUCAGUUAUGCAAAAUGAAGAGUAGAGCAGAUAUCUCCAUAGACACUUCUGUUAUUCAGCCAUUGAUCCUGUAUAAAAAAAAGGAAACGGACUCUUUCAGCCCUGCAGAAAGAGUGAGGUCUCAGCUCCAUGCCUGUGCAUCACCCCAGACUGAGAACACCUCCACCCCUGGCUCAGCAAGUUAUUAUUCUGUGCAAGCACGAUGCCCUCCCAGGACAACACUACAGGACGGCAUUUGCUUGGAUAAAACAGUUUGGCAACACUUGCUCUUGAGGAAAUUUGUGGUCUGUGCGUUGGGGAAUGACUCAGUGGAGCCAGGAGCUGUCUGAAAGCCCCCGCUGAGGAUUUGCUCUGAGCACAGCCUGCAGGGCUGGUGGGUGGGCAAACAAUGU
rnacentral:lncRNA from 1 species